GACGAACGCUGGCGGCGUGCUUAACACAUGCAAGUCGAACGAUGAAGCCGGAGCUUGCUCUGGUGAAUUAGUGGCGAACGGGUGAGUAACACGUGAGUAACCUGCCCUUGACUCUGGGAUAACUGCGGGAAACUGUAGCUAAUACCGGAUACGACCCUCGGAGGCAUCUCCUGGGGGUGGAAAGAAUUUCGGUCAAGGAUGGACUCGCGGCCUAUCAGCUAGUUGGUGAGGUAAAGGCUCACCAAGGCGACGACGGGUAGCCGGCCUGAGAGGGUGACCGGCCACACUGGGACUGAGACACGGCCCAGACUCCUGCGGGAGGCAGCAGUGGGGAAUAUUGCACAAUGGGCGCAAGCCUGAUGCAGCAACGCCGCGUGAGGGAUGACGGCCUUCGGGUUGUAAACCUCUUUUAGCAGGGAAGAAGCGAAAGUGAUGGUACCUGCAGAAAAAGCACCGGCUAACUACGUGCCAGCCGCCGCUGUAA
rnacentral:rRNA from 1 species